UGUAAUGAUAUGGCAUAAUGAUAGUGUAAUGAUACGGUGUAAUGAUGGUGUAAUUAUAGUGUAGUGAUAUGGUGUAAUGAUAUGGUGUAAUAAUACGGGAUAAUGAUAGUGUAAUGAUACGGCGUAAUGAUACGGUGUAAUGGUAGUGUAAUGAUACGGUGUAAUGAUAGUGUAAUGAUACGGCGUAAUGAUACGGUGUAAUGAUAGUGUAAUUAUAGUGUAGUGAUACGGUGUAUUGAUAUGGUGUAAUAAUACGGGAUAAUGAUAGUGUAAUUAGCGACACAACAUCAAGUGUUCUGUAAGUUUUGUUCAACAGUUCUGUGAAGUAAAAUAAAUAGUAAAGCAAUGCCGAUGAUGCGUUUUUUUAAAUAUCCAUUUUUAACAUUUCUGAGUUCUUCUGCUGAAAACAGUUCCCCUCAAGUCUCCUAUAGCUGUGUAACAAAGCAACAACGUCACGUUAUAACACUGAAAUGGAAACAAACAUCACAGGUCAUGUUUUUUCCUCAUAGUUACUGUGUGUGUGUGUGUGUGUGUGUGUGUGUGUGUUAGAAGAAAGGGAUAAAGAACAGGAUUUAACACAGAGGGAAUUAUUGUGCUGGUUCCUGCACAAGUGACACAUCGCAAGUUGUAUCACUGUUCAUUCAAACCCUUCCUGGUCCUGACCUCCGACCUUUCACCUCUAAUAGAACUCAAAUAAGUCUGAUCUUGUUUCAGUUUUAAACAGGCAG
ensembl:lncRNA